UACAGAGGUCUCAAGCGUUGUUCGGAUUCAUUGGGCGUAAAGGGCGCGUAGGCGGCGGGGUAAGUCGGGUGUGAAAUCUCAGAGCUCAACUCUGAAACUGCACUCGAUACUGCUCUGCUUGAGGACUGGAGAGGAGACUGGAAUUCACGGUGUAGCAGUGAAAUGCGUAGACAUCGUGAGGAAGACCAGUGGCGAAGGCGGGUCUCUGGACAGUUCCUGACGCUGAGGCACGAAGGCCAGGGGAGCAAACGGG
rnacentral:rRNA from 1 species